rnacentral:rRNA from 1 species
GGAAUAUUGGACAAUGGGCGCAAGCCUGAUCCAGCCAUGCCGCGUGAGUGAUGAAGGCCUUAGGGUUGUAAAGCUCUUUUAACGGGGACGAUAAUGACGGUACCCGUAGAAUAAGCCCCGGCUAACUUCGUGCCAGCAGCCGCGGUAAUACGAAGGGGGCUAGCGUUGCUCGGAAUCACUGGGCGUAAAGCGCACGUAGGCGGGUCGUUAAGUCAGGGGUGAAAUCCCGGAGCUCAACUCCGGAACUGCCUUUGAUACUGGCGAUCUUGAGUUCGAGAGAGGUGAGUGGAACUGCGAGUGUAGAGGUGAAAUUCGUAGAUAUUCGCAAGAACACCAGUGGCGAAGGCGGCUCACUGGCUCGAUACUGACGCUGAGGUGCGAAAGCGUGGGGAGC